rnacentral:SRP_RNA from 1 species
UAUUCGUCCCUUCGCGACAAUGCGCCGUGAAUCCCGCCAGGCCCGGAAGGGAGCAACGGUAACGCCCCUCAAAGCGUGGAUAUGCCGGCAUGAG